GUGUGAAGGAAUCCUAUAGAGAAACAGGAGUGCAAGCAUCUUAUUAGGGCAUCUGUUUUGUCUGUUGGUUGGAGCCUCGGAAAAGCUUCCUCCACCUCAAGUGCUUCUCCUGGCCUGCCUGUCUCUGUCUACGUACCCAUCCAUCCACUGCAAGCAUAUAUACAAACAUCCCCUCCUGCCUAUGGAAAGGCUGUGGCAUCCGUUUUGUCAGGCUAGCUAGCUAGCUUCUUGCCUAAAGAACACCUUAUUUUGUUCAAAGGAGGCAUCAGAGAGUACGUAUAGGACACUGAGGAAUGGGUCACUGGAAGAGCCGUCACCGCAGCGGAAGGGACGAGGCAGCUCGAGCGAAGGAAACCCGGUGCUUGGCUCUGGCCUGCUGCCCCUGCUACUACGUGCUCGGCUCCGUCGCCAGGGGGGUUGCGAGGUGCCUCUUCGUGGCUUGCUAUCCAGUGAUACAAUGCUGUGGCCUCGACGAGUGCAGGCACCACCACCAUGCCAGCAACUUCAGCCACUUCAGAUGAUGCAUGCAUAUAUAUACAUCCAUCAAGCUAGUAGGAGUGCAUCUUCUACUUGAUCAGCAGUUCCAUUUGCCCUCUCUUUCAGCGAAGAAAGUCGGGUUUGUUAGAAGUUUAACUAAAUCGUGCAAGAUUCUGAAGAAAUUUUCUUCACGUCUUUUUACAAGUUCUCGGUGUUCUUGGACUCCUGUUUUGGUUUACUAGUUGUCCACUUCUUCGCUGGAGGAGACAGACCUGCCUGCAUCAAGACUAUGACUAACGCAAUAAGAUAGAUGAGUAAAGCUGAAGAAAACUGCCUGCUAAAUGGCUAUUGGUCUCCUGGAAGUUAUUCAUAGAGUGGUUGGUUGGUGACAACGCUUUCCGAUUGUUUCUUCCCUACAAUAAUGUGCCUCUCAGGGGAAAAAACAUACUCCUAAUAAUUUCUUACAGCUGGUUCUGGGUCCCCUUUCUUUA